AUGUAUUGGAAUGAAGCAUUUCAUGGAUCUUGAUAAAGCACAGCAGUUGGAAUGGUUUCGAGUUCAAAUUGUUUGCCUGUAAUUGGCCAUAACCUUGAGAAAUUUAAGGUUACAGCCAGUUUACAGCAAACCGGCAAGUCACAGAACGGCAGUGGGCUCUGUUAAGAGUCUU
rnacentral:sRNA from 1 species